rnacentral:rRNA from 1 species
UGGGGAAGUUUGCGCAAUGGGGGCAACCCUGACGCAGCAACGCCGCGUGCGGGACGACGGCCUUCGGGUUGUAAACCGCUUUCAGCAGGGAAGAAAUUCGACGGUACCUGCAGAAGAAGCUCCGGCUAACUACGUGCCAGCAGCCGCGGUAAUAUGUAGGGAGCGAGCGUUAUCCGUAUUCAUUGGGCGUAAAGAGGGCGUAGGCGGCCUCUCAAGCGGGAUCUCUAAUCCGAGGGCUCAACCCCCGGCCGGAUCCCGAACUGGGAGGCUGGAGUUCGGUAGAGGCAGGCGGAAUGCCCGGUGUAGCGGUGGAAUACGCAGAUAUCGGGAAGAACACCGAUGGCGAAGGCAGCCUGCUGGGCCGCAACUGACGCUGAGGCGCGAAAGCUAGGGGAGCGAACAGG